rnacentral:lncRNA from 1 species
CAUCAUUGACAUUAACGAACGAAUCUCGACCACACAAGUCCCCGAAGGUCGAUAAUUUCUGGCAAGUAUCCGCGGCGAAAGUAUGGCAGAUCAAUUUCGCGAUCGAGCCGCCACACGAUGCGUGACCGACUCGAAAGCGAGCAUGUUUUCUUCCUCGAUCUUUGCGCUUCUUUAAUCCGGCCUAUCUUCUUCUUUUUUUCUUUUUGCACAGCCAAUGUCUACCCGUUUUUCCAUAAUCUCGCCUCUGGACACGUACGGCUUACUCCGUUUCCGUACUCCAGAGUUGACAGAGGCGGGUCUGAAAACUUUCUAGCGGGCAAAAAGUCGUCCCAUUCGAAUGCUCGUUGGAAAUUCGGCAGUGAGUUUUUACACCAAGUUGCGGUAUAACGAACAAACAGCAAACUCGGUGCACGCGGUAGACGUAAAAGAUUUGUAAGGAUUUUUAAAUUGUAUACGGGUAAAUAUUUGCGUAAAAACAUCAUUUCGCAAGUAUCGAAAAUAGUUGUUUCUAAGUUCAAAUAAACUCUAAUUACGUCAUAGUUCAUAGUAUAUUUAGUUUAUUAUUUAACGUUACAACAGCAAUUCUGCAAUCAUGUUUGUAAAUAAGAAAAAAAAAAAAAAAAAAAAGAAAGAAAGAAGUAUAAACUUUAAAAGAUAAAACUGUUCCACAUUAUUUUAUGACGUAUUCCGCGUCACUCGAACGAAAUAUUAGAACGAUAAAAUUUAAUACGUUACACAAGUUCUACAUUACGUUAGAUAAUAGAUAUCGUUAUUGUUAUACAUCUAGAUAAAAUUACGGCAUUAGAAAGAAAACGUUUGUGGAUGUGUUGUGCAAUGUAAACGUAUUUUUAAACGUGCGCCUAUAUAACAAACUAUAGUUUUGACCAUAGUUUUUCAAACAUAUGUUUCAUAAUGCAUCGCGACUUUUUUAUGUCGUGUCAUCGUAUUUUCUCUGCUAGUGUGAAAUUAUCUCUCUGCAAUAUCUUACCGCGUGUAAAAUAAAAUAUAAUAUGCGAUGACCAACAUUGUGACGGUCAACGCAUCGAAUAUUACGCUGUUUAAAUCGUUCUCGAAAAAAAAUACGGAGAGCAAUACGGACGACAAUGAUUCGAUAAAUAAUUCCAAGUAACUUCAUCGGUUUGGAAAGAGAUAUUGCCGUGCGUGUUAUUUAAUCCGCUGGCUGGUUCCAACCGCGCGCAGAAAAUAGACCGCGUCGACGAGCCGUGCUAUUAAUAGAUCGUUUUUUUGGACAAGCGUCGUAAAGAUAUCGCCAGGCCGUUGCCAAAUAACAAGCAGCACAAUUUGUCGCGAAACAAAAUUGCCCGAUUCCAGGGCACGAAGAAGGCCGAAGCGAAGAAACUUGGCACGCGGAUCCUCACCGCGAGUAUGAAUGAUAAAAUAUUAAUAGAAACGUGAGCGGGGAGUCGAGCGUGGUUGCUGUGACGCUGUUUUCCAGAUUGAAAAGCAACCUUGACCCACUGGGGAGGAGGCCACGUGGAGUUGUGCUAUCCGGAAAUCGCGCUUCGCGAUCUGGAAUGGCGGAGAGUUUAGAGAGGAAAGGGAGGCGUGAAUUCGAAGAACGGUGAGCCCGUUAUAACAGGGGAAAGGGAAGUAUAUAGAAAUACCAGGAUCAUCAAUAGCUCGCGAUCGAUGGACGAUCGAUGGACGUUUGGCAAGAUCACCGCCGUUACCUAGAUUUUUCGCCCGUAAUUCCAAGAAACGAUGCCCCCUGGUUGGUAAACGGAUCGCAUAAGGCGACAGUCGUCGUUUUAUUUCCAAUCCCGGUAGACAGGCAGCGUCAAUCGAAACGAAGUCGAAUCGAUGGAAGCUCACGGGCAGCAGCAGCAGCAGCGUGGCUUGGGAGUAUGGACCUUGCGAGCGGUCAAAGUCGUGGCCUACUUCACUUCCUGCCUUCGAAACUUUCUCCUCGUGGCGUCGUUCGUGCGUUCACGAGUGCCAAGGCCUAGCGAUGGGAUCAAGUUCAACGCUUGCUCCCAACGUAAUAAAUUCGAUUCGAUCACGCGAAUUCCAUUCUUCUUCGAUUUUUUGCGUCGAAAAUCACGGACGAAAAUUUUGUCAACUUCCAGAAAAUUUGAAAAUUCGUAUCGGAACGAGAUAACGAUAAGUUUAUAUAUAAGAUAUAUUCACUUUGAGUGUUCACAUUAGAAUUUUUUCAAAUUCGAAUCUACUCGCGAUACGCUCGAUCCCAUCGCUAUCGGGCCUCUCUUUCGGCUCGAUCUCGGCUACGAUCUUCCUUCUUCUUCCUUUUCUCCGGAUAAUGAUCCUUAAUUAAUCGGCAAACUUUAGAAUUCGAAUCAUUAUCAGUCACUCGAUCGAAAUAAUCGAUCUAUCCCGAGGGAGGAAUCAAUUGGUUGGAACAAAGGAUUAUUAAUUUUUAAAAAUAAUCAAAUUUGCUUUUAAUAUUGCGGUAAUUUUGAAUUACGCUUUCAAGAGUGGUUAUUCGAUCGUUUCGAAGGCCCGAUUUGUUUGAUUUCGAAAGCGAAUAAUUUCCAUCGUGCCAAUUCGAUGGAAUCUUUGCUCGAAAGCAAAGUCAGAAGGAAACGAUCCUUCUGAAUUCUCGUAUCGUGUAGGAUGCGCAACUAAAAAGUAUUAUUCGGGACGUUCCAUUGGCCGAGUAUCCAUCGCAUCCGAGUAUGGGCCACGAUCCAUAAACCGUGCAUACGAACCGUGCAUUGAACGCAUUAUAUCCACGUUUUGAAAAAUUCUAAGCCCAGUCUUGCUUCUUCCUCUUUUCAAUCCGUCUAUCUUGCUUUAUAAGCAUACCUUCGCGGUAAGAAAAGAAGAAGGAGCUCCUUUCACACUUUCUCUUACUCGAUAAAUUUGGUAUUUGCCAUUUCCAAAAUUACUUUUUUUCCAAGUCGAUC